GCAGUGGUGGUUCAGUGGUAAAAUUCUGACCUUCCAAUUAGGAGAUCUGGGUUCGAUUCCCAGCCAGAACA
rnacentral:tRNA from 1 species